AAAAAAAAAACGGGCAGUAACUUCCGGGGUACUCCUAACUAGCCAAUCAGAGCGUAGCUUUUAGAGGUGCUCGCCACGCAGCUUUGUAUCCACGCACGCUAUUGGUCAGAGGUACGCGAGUGGAGUUUCGGCGCCACGUUGCAAGCUAGCUGGAGCCGAAAUGGCUGUGGCAGCUUGUUGAGUAAUGCGGAGUAAGAAAUAGUUUUUGUUUUCGCUGGAUAAUUCAGAUGUCAGUGUCAGACUGCACAAGCAAAAUGUGAACGUGGCCGUGCUUAAUGUGUCAAAGUUACGGUCGUAAUGAAGACCAUGAAAAGAAGAUUAGCUGGAGCUGUUGCGGUGGACUGUCUGGGGACGGCCGUGACGAGACUGCAGGGACCGGCGCUUGUCGUGUGAGCUGGCAGCCUCUGGCGUUCUGCCGCGGGCGCAGAGGCGGUUUUGGCUGCUGAACGAGCGUCUCCCAUGGGUUGCCACGCAUCUCCUCUCCCCCCUCUCACUCUGCAGCUGGAGCUAGCAGGGCCAGAUGCUACAUGGCUGCACCACCCUCUGUCGCCCCUUCCCUCUUCCAGGAGGAUGGUGCCCAGAGAGGAGGAUGACAAACGCCUCUGCCUCCUCUUACUGACGGAUUUGGACGACCUGACUCCAGCCCCGCUCUGUUCCAACCGCCAGCACAAGAUGUUGACUUAAUGGAAAAGGGGUUUGGCUGUUGAUGGGCCCAUAUGUGUUUGUAUUGGGGAAAUAUGGCAGGCCAGCGUGUCUGUGUAUCACUGUGUAUCUCAUGUGUUCAGGAUCAUUGUGAAUGUGUCUUGUGUAUUUUUUCACGUAGCCCAGACUGCCUACAUCCAUCAUGCCAUGGCGUACUGGCAGAGCGCAGGACUCAGACAGCUUCACUAACACACGGUCAGUUAAAUUGCCUGUUAAAUUGUCUCGGUCUGUCGCUAUCUUAGGUGUAGAUAAAAACACUGCACUUAAAGGCUGCACUUAAUGGCAGAAAUUGACAAGUAAAUGCCAGUCGAAGAGGUGAGCGAGGGUAAAAAUUACAAUACACAAUACUGCAAAGGGUGAUUGCAGGACACUUAAAGGCUAUUUUGAACCAUAACAUUGAAUUUUAUUUCAUAUGUUGAUCAUUUCAUCCAAUUAUAUUGUAGUUCCACUAAAAUAUAAAGCUGAGGCUAGACCAUAUCAGGGCUAAAUUGUACCAUUCAUCACCCGUCACUUUGCUCCUGUAAUAAUUAAAACAAUAAUUUUGGUCCAACCAGUGUGACAUUUCUCCCUAUGCAACCAGAUGGAAAAUUAAGACUCAUUCUUUUAGCAUUAAAGUUAAUGGCCGGAUUCCCCUUGUGUAUCAGCGGAACCACUAGCAGAACCAUUUGAAGGACAGUGCCCCUGUAAGUUUUACACAGGAAAAUGUACGGAUGGUACGAUCACCUACAAUACCUCUUCUCUGUGGUGCUCCUCUGCAGCAGGUGCGCCAAAAAAAAGUGCGCAAGACCAGCCCGGGGGAUCGUGCAUCAGGACCACAACCAUACCGCGCGUUGGCUAUAUCGCCCACCAUGAAUUACACAGAAGAAUGAACAACCUCAGCUUUAUUCACUCAAGUCAUCCAGCUCGAGUAAUAGGGGGAAGCCCCUCCGUGCAGACCGAGCUCCAAGCAGGUGGCGUUACACGUGGCAAAAAAAGACACCGAAAAGGGUCCAAACAUUCGGUACACCUGCAUCAUCUAACGAGAUUCAUGUGAACACUCCUGCGUUUUCCAAGAACGCUCGGUUUGGAUUGACACUGGAUUUUUAUAUUACUGUACAAUAUUUUCUUCACGCGGUGGAGCAACUGUAAAACUACAUCAUACUGAUUAUUUCCAAUACUUUAGUUACCUUAUGAGUCUAGAAACAGCUCUGACGCAGUGCAGUGUCACUGCACGAUUACAACCGCAAUAUAAACACGAAUGUCUCGCCUGUAUUGUUAUCAUUUGAUUGGACGAGUGUUCUUAAUGAAGUGUCGUUUUGGGUUCCAGUCCCACAUAUUGAAAUGAUAUCACGAGGAGUAAGGCACCUCAAAAAUAGAAAUAUUGUCACAUAACUUGUUCUCAAACAACAUGGCUUAUGUCAAAUAUGAUUUCUUUUCACUUUUGGGGCGGUUAAAACAAAUUUGAAAUAGUUCACCUGUCCAUCGGCACAUUUGCUUGAAAUUACAUGCAUGAAAAGUCCUUCGUUAUAGAAAACUUUUUUCUUUCAUCCUUUUUCAUUUGACAAAUUUAGAUUUUCAAUUUGUAAACCGGCAUAAGGGAUUACGAAGUAUAUUUUCUUAUAUUAUUUGCAAUCCAGAUUAAGGUUCGGUGAUCGUGCCGGUGCAUGGGCACAGGCCGACGCCCUUUAGCUGACGCGCAAUUGACCUCGCCGUGCGCAAUUAAGCAGACCCCAGUGUGUGUAACACUUUUAUUUUCCGAAAGGCUCAAUACGCUUCCAUUAAACGUUAUUAAAGCGCGUUGAGUGACGAGCUCCCAUUUGUCUUGUCAGGACAUCUGACAAGCUCGUUAGCUCCCAUUUUCCCCUGUCAACCCACUGCGCGACACGGACACUGACUUCUUGAGCCACUCGUGGCCAAAUGCGCACAGGGGUGG